rnacentral:rRNA from 1 species
GAUGAACGCUGGCGGCGUGCCUAACACAUGCAAGUCGAGCGAACAGACGAGGAUCUUGCUCCUCUGACGUUAGCGGCGGACGGGUGAGUAACACGUGGAUAACCUACCUAUAAGACUGGGAUAACUUCGGGAAACCGGAUCUAACACCGGAUAAUAUAUUGAACCGCAUGGUUCAUUGGUGAAAGACGGUUUUGCUGGCACUUAUAGAUGUUUCCGCGCCGCAUUAGCUAGUUGGUACGGUAACGGCUUACCAAGGCUACGAUGCGUAGCCGACCUGAGAGGGUGAUCGGCCACACUGGAACUGAGACACGGUCCAGACUCCUACGGGAGGCAGCAGUAGGGAAUCUUCCGCAAAGGGCGAAAGCCUGACGGAGCAACGCCGCGUGAGUGAUGAAGGUCUUCGGAUCGUAAAACUCUGUUAUUAGGGAAGAACAAAUGUGUAAGUAACUAUGCACGUCUUGACGGUACCUAAUCAGAAAGCCACGGCUAACUACGUG